GGGUCCUUGGGGCGUGCUUACCAUGCAAGUCGAACGAUGAAGCCCAGCUUGCUGGGUGGAUUAGUGGCGAACGGGUGAGUAACACGUGAGUAACCUGCCCUUGACUCUGGGAUAAGCGCUGGAAACGGCGUCUAAUACCGGAUACGAGCUUCCACCGCAUGGUGAGUUGCUGGAAAGAAUUUCGGUCAAGGAUGGACUCGCGGCCUAUCAGGUAGUUGGUGAGGUAACGGCUCACCAAGCCGACGACGGGUAGCCGGCCUGAGAGGGUGACCGGCCACACUGGGACUGAGACACGGCCCAGACUCCUACGGGAGGCAGCAGUGGGGAAUAUUGCACAAUGGGCGCAAGCCUGAUGCAGCAACGCCGCGUGAGGGACGAAGGCCUUCGGGUCGUAAACCUCUUUUAGCAGGGAAGAAGCGAAAGUGACGGUACCUGCAGAAAAAGCACCGGCUAACUACGUGCCAGCAGCCGCGGUAAUACGUAGGGUGCGAGCGUUAUCCGGAAUUAUUGGGCGUAAAGAGCUCGUAGGCGGUUUGUCACGUCUGCUGUGAAAACUGGAGGCUCAACCUUCAGCCUGCAGUGGGUACGGGCAGACUAGAGUGCGGUAGGGGAGAUUGGAAUUCCUGGUGUAGCGGUGGAAUGCCCAGAUAUCAGGAGGAACACCGAUGGCGAAGGCAGAUC
rnacentral:rRNA from 1 species